ACUGGGCGUAAGCGCACGCAGGCGGUCUGUCAAGUCGGAUGUGAAAUCCCCGGGCUCACACCUGGGAACUGCAUUCGAAACUGGCAGGCUAGAGUCUUGUACAGGGGGGUAGAAUUCCAGGUGUAGCGGUGAAAUGCGUAGAGAUCUGGAGGAAUACCGGUGGCGAAGGCGGCCCCCUGGACAAAGACUGACGCUCAGGUGCGAAAGCGUGGGGAGCAAACAGGAUUAGAUACCCUGGUAGUCCACGCCGUAAACGAUGUCGACUUGGAGGUUGUGCCCUUGAGGCGUGGCUUCCGGAGCUAACGCGUUAAGUCGACCGCCUGGGGAGUACGGCCGCAAGGUUAAAACUCAAAUGAAUUGACGGGGGCCCGCACAAGCGGUGGAGCAUGUGGUUUAAUUCGAUGCAACGCGAAGAACCUUACCUACUCUUGACAUCCAGAGAACUUUCCAGAGAUGGAUUGGUGCCUUCGGGAACUCUGAGACAGGUGCUGCAUGGCUGUCGUCAGCUCGUGUUGUG
rnacentral:rRNA from 1 species